rnacentral:lncRNA from 1 species
UAGAAGUAAGAUCUGAGAGGAGCUCCAUCAUGGCUGCCACAGAGACUCGGAGAAGUGAGAAGAGCUAGGCAGCUUCCUCUUUAUCCAAAGGAUGCCCUUCUACUAGAAUUGGUCCGAUGUUUUCCUCAUGGUGAGACUGGAGUUAUGGGUUUUGAAGAGGAAGAUUACAGAGAAUUUCCACUGAUGCCAUUGCUUGAAGGGAGGCUUGGAGGCCGAGAAGAAGGAAGUGAUUCCAGAAAGGUAUCACCAUUCCUCAGUUACGAAACCCAAGUGAGACCACAAUAUCCUGACUUCCAGUCUAGAGCUAUCUGUAAUGCAAUAAAUCUCUUCACAGGAGCAUAUACACUGGGAACGGGAACUCUCACAGGAGAUUCUCUCCCUUGUUGAUUGGAAAAAGCCAGCUGCCAUGUUGUGAGUAUCCCAUUUAAAAGGGCUAUAUGGCAAGGAACCGAGGGCAGCCUUCAGCUGACAGCCAGCAAGAAACCAAGAUCCUCAGUCUGGUAGCUUGCAAGGCACUGAAUUCUGCCAACAACUGCGUGAGCUUGGAAGUGGAUCCUUCCUCAGUUAAGCCUUGGACAAGACCCAAGCCCUGUUGGACGCUUUAAUUACAGCCUUGCAGAGAACCCAGCUAAGGCAUGUUCAGACCUGAUCCACAGAAACUGUGAGAUAAUCCAUGUGUGUUGUUUUAAGCCUCUAAGUGUGUGGUAAUUUGUUACACAGCACUGGUUAGCUAACACAGAUACCUAGACAGCUGGUAAAGCAUUAUUUCUGGAUGUGUCUGUGAGGGUGUUUCUGGAGGAGAUUGGCAUGUGAGUCAGUGAACUCUGUGGGCAAGAGCUGCCCUCAAUGUAGGUGGGCACCAUCCAAUGUUGUUUUGUUGUAUCUAGGGGCCCAGAUAAAACAAAAAGGCAGAGGAAAGGUGAAUUCACUCUCUCUCUCCUGAAGCUGGGGUACUUUUAUCUCUUGCCCUUGGACAUCAGAACUCCAGGUUCUCUGGCCUUUGGACUCUGGGACUUGCACCAGCUCCCGGCUUCUCAGGACUUCAGCCUCAGAUUGAGAGUCACUCCAUUAACUUUCCUGGUUUAAAAGCCUUUAUACUUGGACUGAGAAACACCAACAGCUUCCCUGGGCUUCCAACUUGCAGAUGACCUAUCACAGGACUUCUCAGCCUCCAUAAUCGCAUGAGCCAAUUCUCCUAAUAAGUCCCCUUUCACAUAUCUAUUUAUCUACAUACGUAUAUCCUACUGGUUCUGUCUUUCUCAGGAACCCUGACCAAUAUAGUAUGUAUCUCUAAAAGAUAAGGACAUCAAAAAAUAUUACCGCGUCUAAAAAUAAAGUGAUUUCUUAACGUCAUGAAAUAUCCAAUUGCUCUCCAAAUUUUCACAAUUACAAAAGUCCACAUGUUGCAUUUAAUUUUAAUGCCUCUUAAUUCUCCCUUAAUUUUGAGAUUGCCUUUUAAGUAAGGCAGUUUAGCUCCCUAGUUUCACUCUAGCCCAUCCAAGGUGUUUCCAAAAACCUCACCUUCACACUAACCACAUCCAUUAUAAGCUGCUUCUUAAACGAUGAGAGCUCUCACUCUCUAAAAGGAAUUCUAAGCAUACCUCUUAAAGUAAUAACAUAUUAUAUCUCUACUAAGUUUAUAAUCAUAAAGAAUGUGGGUAUUUGCAUUCUCAUUUUACAGAUGGGAAAAUUAGUGUAGGUAACACAUAUAGAGAGGUGAUAAAUAGCAAUGGUUUCCAAGAAUGAUGACGAUUUCAGUGUGAAACAGAGAGUAGCAAUGGCAAGAGAUACAGCUAAGUAAAUGUGGAUGGUGAGGGACCCAUUCUGCCUUGUUAAAAGGUUUGAACCCACCCUAUAGACAAUAAAUCACUCAGUGAAUCACUGAGCAAUUUUAAUUAUGGAAGCAAUGUGAUCAGAUUUAUAUUUAAGGCAAGAGGAUUGGUGGCAAUGUAGAAGGCAAACACAAGUCAGAAAGAGUUAGAAGUAAGAAAAGUGAGUAGUCUGAAGAAAUUGGACACAUAAGAGAUGAGGGGGCUGGAAUGACUAACUAUGCAUCUUAUUCUGAAAUAUGUCUCUUAGGUAAUUGAUUAUUGAUACCCCACAUCCAAAUAGUGGGACAGUUAACUGAGAUGUCAGAGCCAGCCUUUUCAACACUUCUAGAGAGAAAUUUUGCAAAGACACAUCUCUUGUACCUCCAUGGACUUUUAAUACAGAUAUGUUUAUCAUAAGAUAACCUUCUAAAGAGCUCAUGAUAGCAUAUGAUCAAACUCCUUAUUGUACAGUCAGGAGGAAUCAGCCUUGUUGAAGGAAGGGGCUUACCCAAAGUUACAAGUUGGGACAAAAUUUUUGCUUCCAAUUCACUGCUGUUCUUACUAGAACUGUUUUCUCCAGUCUCAUAGAAGUUCUGAGAAACAAUUAGGCCCACACUAUCAUCAACAGGCAAAUAUGUGUGCCUGACCAGACAGACAGAGAGGUAUUUUGAGAGAGGCCAGGAAUGAAACUGGUGAAGAGGCCCAGAGUUUCAAUCCUGUUCUCACUCAAGAUUCAUCAUCAUCAUCAUCUUUACUAUAAGGAAGAGGGCAUUUAAAAGCACAAAUGAGAUUGUUAGUGAUAAAAAGGUACUUAUACACCAGCCAAUUCCAUCCUCCAUUUUGCUGAGGCUCAAAGAGGUACAGUGACUUAUCUUCGGUUAUGUAUGCAACUAUUGCAGAGCUGGAUAUUGGACUUAGGCCUCCUGAAGCCCAGCACUGUGCCUGCAGGAGCAUUCCCAACUCCUGUCUUUCUGCUCAAUACAUGGGGAAGAGACGAACAAUUUAGGCUACUCAAAAUGUGGUGGGCAUUUGGGCUCUGGGGAGAGCUUCAGCAUCUCUUCUCUCUUUUCAUGUUCUCCAACUCCUCAAGCAACAUACACACAUAGCAUAAAGAUCACUAGCCAGCUAUUUUCUGUCUUGAAAAAUUUUUAUGAUAAGAGUUUUCUAAUUAGGGAAAGCCACAGUUCAUACACAAAACACAAAUUACUAGGCUCUUUGUCUUUUUCAGAAGAAGUAUUAAUCCAUAAAUAAAUAUACUCUGUUGCCAAGUCACUACCAUGCUGUAUCACAUGGCCAAAGGAUGCCAAAAGGUAUGAGCUCUUGGUGAAUCCCAGCUAUUGACAGCCAGGUGCUGGACCUUAACCAGAGGCAUUGCUAUAGGUGGUUAAGUAUAUGGGCUCUGGUCAGUGGUGACAAAGUUCCUGGGUUCAAAUCCCAACACCCCCAGUUACUAGUUAUGUGACCUUGGACAAGUUGAUUAAAAUCUCUGUACUUCAACUCCUUUAUUUGUAAUAUGGAAAUGAUUUUUUAAAUUACCUAUCUUCUGGGUCUAUUGCAAAAUUAUCUUAUUUAAUAAUAAGAUAAUCCACUUAAGGCACUAUAUGUGAGUUUUUGCAUGUAGUGAGCACUUGAACCAAUAGAGUAUAUUUCCUUUUGAAUGUAAGAAAUUCACAGAGACAGCUUCUCUAUAGUAAAGGUAAGAAUCAAAACUGAGUUUCUAUAAAUUACUUUGUAUUGCUUAGAGAAAGAAGUCAUGGCAAUAGAUUGAAUAUAUUUUAAUUUAAAGUAGAAAAUUAUAUAGGAAAAAUAGAUAUAUCUUCCAGAGCUCAGUCUCAAAGGCCACAUUUUCUUUUGAGUAUUUUAACCUCCAAAACAUACUUAGUAUGUGGUGAAAUUGCCUACUUCUGGGUUGAGUAAUGUGAGCUAUCAUUACCAUGGUAACAACAAGGCCAAUAACUUGAACUCCAGUCAUAGUAGCUACAAUAAAGGGGACUCAGUUUGGAAAUAAUUAGAAUCCAUCCUUUUUGAGACUGAAAUUCAUUGCCUUUAAGACUCAAUCAACAUUCCUGGUGGUAGUCUGGAAUCAGCUCAAAUCAAGAUACAUCUAUCUUUAAAAAGAAUAUAGGACAAGAAAUCCAAAAUAGGAAAAAAAUCAAAUCAUCUUAUCUUUCUGGUGCAUUUACUAGUCUGAUGAGUCAUAAGAAAAUAAUAACCCAGAGGUUAGAAACAAAGACAUAAGCACAAUUCCUUUCAUUCCAUGGGUAAAAUUGAA